rnacentral:rRNA from 1 species
GUGACCGGCCACACUGGGACUGAGACACGGCCCAGACUCCUACGGGAACUCCUACGGGAGGCAGCAGUAGGGAAUUUUCGGCAAUGGGGGAAACCCUGACCGAGCAACGCCGCGUGAAGGAAGAAGUAAUUCGUUAUGUAAACUUCUGUCAUAGAGGAAGAACGGUGGAUAUAGGGAAUGAUAUCCAAGUGACGGUACUCUA